AGCUUGCUGCUUCGCUGACGAGUGGCGGACGGGUGAGUAAUGUCUGGGAAACUGCCUGAUGGAGGGGGAUAACUACUGGAAACGGUAGCUAAUACCGCAUAACGUCGCAAGACCAAAGAGGGGGACCUUCGGGCCUCUUGCCAUCGGAUGUGCCCAGAUGGGAUUAGCUAGUAGGUGGGGUAACGGCUCACCUAGGCGACGAUCCCUAGCUGGUCUGAGAGGAUGACCAGCCACACUGGAACUGANACACGGUCCAGACUCCUACGGGAGGCAGCAGUGGGGAAUAUUGCNCAAUGGGCGCAAGCCUGAUGCANCCAUGCCNCGUGUAUGAAGAAGGCCUUCGGGUUGUAAAGUACUUUCAGCGGGGAGGAAGGGANUAAAGUUAAUACCUUUGCUCAUUGACGUUACCCGCAGAAGAAGCACCGGCUAACUCCGUGCCANCAGCCGCGGUAAUACNGAGGGUGCAAGCGUUANUCGGAAUUANUGGGCGUAAANCGCACNCAGGCGGNUUGUUAAGUCAGAUGUGAAAUCCCC
rnacentral:rRNA from 1 species